rnacentral:rRNA from 1 species
AUUGAACGCUGGCGGCAGGCUUAACACAUGCAAGUCGAGCGGAGCGAGGGUGCUUGCACCUUAGCUUAGCGGCGGACGGGUGAGUAAUGCUUAGGAAUCUGCCUAUUAGUGGGGGACAACAUUCCGAAAGGAAUGCUAAUACCGCAUACGCCCUACGGGGGAAAGCCGGGGAUCUUCGGACAUUGCGCUAAUAGAUGAGCCUAAGUCGGAUUAGCUAGUUGGUGGGGUAAAGGCCUACCAAGGCGACGAUCUGUAGCGGGUCUGAGAGGAUGAUCCGCCACACUGGGACUGAGACACGGCCCAGACUCCUACGGGAGGCAGCAGUGGGGAAUAUUGGACAAUGGGCGGAAGCCUGAUCCAGCCAUGCCGCGUGUGUGAAGAAGGCCUUUUGGUUGUAAAGCACUUUAAGCGAGGAGGAGGCUACUUAGAUUAAUACUCUGGGAUAGUGGACGUUACUCGCAGAAUAAGCACCGGCUAACUCUGUGCCAGCCGCCGCAGUAAUAC